GAUCCUGGCUCAGGAUGAACGCUGGCGGCGUGCCUAAUACAUGCAAGUCGAGCGAACAGACGAGGAGCUUGCUCCUCUGACGUUAGCGGCGGACGGGUGAGUAACACGUGGAUAACCUACCUAUAAGACUGGGAUAACUUCGGGAAACCGGAGCUAAUACCGGAUAACAUGUUGAACCGCAUGGUUCAACAGUGAAAGACGGUCUUGCUGUCGCUUAUAGAUGGAUCCGCGCCGCA
rnacentral:rRNA from 1 species